AUAUAUGACUUGUACUAAAUGGUCUGUAAAAAAAAAAAGUAGUUUUUUUUUUUGCUAAAUUACAAAAAAAUUUCUUAUCGAUAUUCGUUUCUUUACUUUUUUUUCUUCCAAUUUAAAAAUCUAUAUUUUGCCCCCUUAAAAAAUCAGAAAUGUUCACUUUGGUUCCUGCCGUCAGUAUUCCUUAGAGUUUCAUUUACAUUCUAUUAUUAUAUAUAUUUUUAUACUCAAAAUACUCUCAGCCUCCUUCCCUCGACAUUGCCGCCUCCCUUCUCGCCGCCCACGCCGACUCGCCCUACUCCGCCAUCCCUCCAUCCACGCCCACACAUGCGCGCUCUCGUGCUCCUUCGCUGUCUCUUCCUUAGCCGACCCACCUCUCCAUCCAUGUCCAUCCCAAUUUCCUCCUACCAUCAUCAAAAUGAAGGGGUGACGAGGGUGCAGAGAGAGAGAGAGGAAGUAGGUGGAGGAAAUAGAGUUGGAACUGCGGUUAAGUAAGACGCGAAAAACAGAAAAGAAGAGACGACGACCGAGAAAGAUUGGAGACGAAGGUGGUGAGGGACAAUUUGGUCAUUUCACUAUCAUAAUUAAUACCGUACCUCUGUGAAUAUUUUUUAUUUUUCAAGAAAGUAAAGUAUAGAUAUUUAAAUGAUAUGAAGAAAAAGUGAAAAAACCGAUGACUAAUAACGAAGUUUUCUGUAAUUUAGCCCCUUUUUUGUUUUUUUUGCACAAAAACAUGCAUAAAGUUUAUAAUU
rnacentral:lncRNA from 1 species